AGGAGGAAAGUUAAUUUACUAAAUAUGAUAUCAGAAUGCGAGGUAACACAAAAUAAUACAAUAGAAUUGUAAUUGAGGCCAAUAAAUAAAAUGAAUACUAAACAAAUUAAAUGUGUCCAAAAAACUGAAGGCCUUACUCUAAUGCUGCAGACAAGACAGCUGGGGAGCACACACACUGCAGAGAUGAGAAGAAAGGGAAGAGGGAACAUCUUGGUCUGUGAACAGUUUUGUCUUUCCCUCUGAAUGAAAACCAGAAACUAAACAGUGAACAGUCCUCUGGGGUAUGUAGUUCUCCUCCUCUUCCGAGGCAGCUAUACCCAGAAGUAGCAAUGAUCCACAGGACUGGAGCAUUAACACUUUAACUCCCAGUACACUAUAUGAUGUUGUGAUCUGGAAUACCAAUAAAAAAUAAGAACCAUGACACAGCUCUGGAAAUUCCUCAUUAGCAAUGACAUUACAAGAAGGGCUAAGUAGAAUCUUAAUCUUCACAUUUAAAUUCACAAGUGUUAGACACGCUAUCACAAGGAGUUUAGAAACACACUUAAGGUAAAAUCACUGAAACAAGAUGAAGUUCUCUUUACAGGUAUAUUUUUCAUUCAUCAAGCUCAGGACUUUUUUUGCUGGGUCAUUCAGCAUGAUCAGUUGCCACAUAAGAGGUUUUAACUAUUCAAUUCUGCAUUUGGAUUUAUUUACUAAGAUGUGCGUGUGUGUGUGGGGGGGGGGAAACCACAGCAAGAUUAUAGUGAGACAGCAGAGCACUGUAUUAAAUUCUGUAGAUCUAAUACCACAGACAGUAUAAACUCUGUAAAACAGCUUACUUCUACUGCCCUAUAGACAACAGCAGCAUUGGAGUAAAAUAUAAAAGCUAAUUAGAAGUUUCUGCUGAAUUAUCUUACUAUAGUGGGUUGGAAAAAAAAACAAGCCUAUUAGUCUUGAACACUAUAGAUGGAGCAGAAAUAUACCCACUAUCUCAACUGUGAUUUUAAUGUUACAGCAUUUUCAAGCUCAUAUUCUGAUCUGGGAUCAGCAUUCUCAAGACACAGUGAAUUAGCGAACAGAAUGAAUCAGAAGUGCAGCCUCAGAAACAACGACAAAGCUUUUGUCUCUGGGCUUUCAGUUAACUCUGGCAUUAAACCUGAGGGAACUCAAUCCACUACUCCUCAUGCAAGAACUCCUACACAGAUCAGGAGCACGGAGAUUAUUUCCCCAAGUUUCAAGAACAAACUUGUGAAAACGUGCCUUGAAGUUCUUAGUUUUAAACUCUUUACUAGUAAAAUUAAGUUAUUAGAACAAAACUAAAUGAAAGUGUAAUUCAAAAUUAAUUCCUAUCAUUUUGAUACAUUUACAUUACACUUCAGUUACCACAACCAUUCCUGCCAAGAUUUUUAGUGAUGGAGUUACUGUUACAGAUCGGUGUUACAUGCUAGUAUGCCACAAGUAGCAAUCCACUUCCAUGUCUUUAACAGUUUCCUCAGUCACCCUGAGAGGGCUGCAAAACAUCCAGGGUGGUAUUUCUCAUUCAGCAAUAGUGGUUCUACAAGAAGCUUAUCUGUUGCACAAGAAGAUUAAAAAAAUACUUGUUCUAACUUGAGGAUUAGACUUAGAAAUUAAGGAUGAUUAAGGCCUGCACUCUGAACACUGCAAAGGAAGCAUUAUUUCACUUCAUUCAGAUAGGUUGUAUCAGCAUAGUACCAUUAUGGAUGUGUAGAAGCAAUACUAGUGGGGAAAAAAAGAAAAAUCACCUGAAGGUGAUUUUACUUAGUUCAAAGCAUUACAAACAACUGCUUACAAUUAAUAACAAUGCUUAACACAUAACUUCAUAGAAAUUGCUCCAAAGUAUUGUCUACAUAAAAAAUACAAGUAGUUUUAGAUAACAGCAUGCAGCUACAAACAUAUCCAACCACUCCACCUCUCUUCCUGAGAGAAGACUUACAGUCAGAACUACGACAAAACAUUCUCAACACUGGAACCGCUUCCUACCUCCAGCUCCUCAGUAUUCCUAUGGGCAGUUUUAUUCCCUAUCAUUAGGAAAAUGCUACCCUU
ensembl:lncRNA